rnacentral:rRNA from 1 species
UACGUAGGGUGCGAGCGUUAAUCGGAAUUACUGGGCGUAAAGCGUACGCAGGCGGCUUCGCAAGACAGAUGUGAAAUCCCCGGGCCUAACCUGGGAACUGCAUUUGUUACUGCGCAGCUCGAGUCCGUCAGGGGGGGGUGGAAUUCCACGUGUAGCAGUGAAAUGCGUAGAGAUGUGGAGGAACACCGAUGGCGAAGGCAGCCCCCUGGGAUGAGACUGACGCUCAGGUACGAAAGCGUGGGGAGCAAACAGG